CGAUGUUGUAAUUUCUGCUCAAUCAUUGCAAAGUAAUUAUGUAUGGAGCAUGCUUAAUAUACCUUUAAUUUACUGAAUAAAUUAAUUUUGCUCCGCUUGAUAUCUCCCUCUUACGAUGCAACAUUGCGAUGCGGUAUUUGUCGAUAAUGUUGCAAGUUGAUAAAACAUUUUUUCCCCUCCCCGUUUUUUGUCUUGUUAAUUGUAUUAGUUUGGGAGAGUUCUUGGAAAUUUAUAUGAUAUAGUAGAUAGAAAUUGAAUUGAGAUGAGUGAGUUUGUGUAUGGAAAAGAAAAUGAAUAUGAGAUUUUAGAUGUAGAGGAUCUACAAUGAAUGACGAUUUUUUUAAUUUUAGAAUUAUUGUUUUGUUGUACGAAAUGAGAAAGCUGAUACUUGAUUCACGCCUUUAUGUGCAAUUGUAGCUAAAAAUUAACUACCUGAUUCGGCCGACCAGCCCACUUACCAUUAAUCCAUAAUAAUAGCAUUUGUAUGACAGUAUAUAAAUGCAAACCUUACUCUUCACAAACUAUAAAUUCAUGCAUGGCUCAUUUUAUUAUUAAUUUUUUUCUAUUGUCUGUAGAAAAUUCUACUUCAUCAUACUCUAGAGCUUGUGCAACGUUUAGCGAGAAGGGAGCUGAUGAAGAUGUACAUUUAUUUUUUAAUAUUAGUUAAGACCAUUCUGAAUAGGUAGUAUUGUUGUAUCUCUACUUACAUUUCUUAUUUACUAUAUAGGAAUUAACUUUGAGUGCUGAUCUAUGCUAGUAAGACUUGUGGGGAAGAAUGAAUCAAGUAAUUUCAAUGCACAAUAAUUAAGAAUGAAGGAAAAGUUUAGUAUUGUUAUAUUUAUAAUAUUGUUUGUUAAAUUUGUAUUUUGCAAUUGAAAAUUGGGACAAUAUUUGUAUUUUCGUUUGGAAUAUUGUUUGAUAAUGUUUGCAUUUUCGUUUGGAA
rnacentral:lncRNA from 1 species